rnacentral:piRNA from 1 species
GAGGACUGGAAACAUUGGUGGCUUUGGC